AUUGAACGCUGGCGGCAUGCUUUACACAUGCAAGUCGAACGGUAACAGGGAAAAGCUUGCUUUUCUGCUGACGAGUGGCGAACGGGUGAGUAACACAUCGGAACGUGCCCUGUAGUGGGGGAUAACUACUCGAAAGAGUGGCUAAUACCGCAUACAACCUGAGGGUAAAAGUGGGGGACCGCAAGGCCUCACGCUAUAGGAGCGGCCGAUGGAAGAUUAGGUAGUUGGUAGGGUAAAGGCCUACCAAGCCGACGAUCUUUAGCGGGUCUGAGAGGAAGACCCCCCAACUGGGACUGAGACACGGCCCAGACUCCUACGGGAGCAGCAGUGAGGAAUAUUGGACAAUGGAUGGAAAUCUGAUCCAGCCAUGCCGCGUGCAGGAAGACGGCCCUAUGGGUUGUAAACUGACUUUUAUAUGGGAGCAAUAAGGUUUACGAGUAGACCGAUGAGAGUACCAUAUGAAUAAGCAUCGGCUAACUCCGUGCCAGCAGCCGCGGUAAA
rnacentral:rRNA from 1 species